rnacentral:rRNA from 1 species
GUCGAACGGGAAAUAUUUCAUUGAGACUUCGGUGGAUUUGAUCUAUUUCUAGUGGCGGACGGGUGAGUAACGCGUGGGUAACCUGCCUUAUACAGGGGGAUAACAGUCAGAAAUGGCUGCUAAUACCGCAUAAGCGCACAGAGCUGCAUGGCUCAGUGUGAAAAACUCCGGUGGUAUAAGAUGGACCCGCGUUGGAUUAGCUUGUUGGUGGGGUAACGGCCCACCAAGGCGACGAUCCAUAGCCGGCCUGAGAGGGUGAACGGCCACAUUGGGACUGAGACACGGCCCAGACUCCUACGGGAGGCAGCAGUGGGGAAUAUUGCACAAUGGGGGAAACCCUGAUGCAGCGACGCCGCGUGAAGGAAGAAGUAUCUCGGUAUGUAAACUUCUAUCAGCAGGGAAGAUAGUGACGGUACCUGACUAAGAAGCCCCGGCUAACUACGUGCCAGCAGCCGCGGUAAUACGUAGGGGGCAAGCGUUAUCCGGAUUUACUGGGUGUAAAGGGAGCGUAGACGGUGUGGCAAGUCUGAUGUGAAAGGCAUGGGCUCAACCUGUGGACUGCAUUGGAAACUGUCAUACUUGAGUGCCGGAGGGGUAAGCGGAAUUCCUAGUGUAGCGGUGAAAUGCGUAGAUAUUAGGAGGAACACCAGUGGCGAAGGCGGCUUACUGG